rnacentral:rRNA from 1 species
AGUGAACGCUGGCGGUAGGCCUAACACAUGCAAGUCGAACGGCAGCACAGUAAGAGCUUGCUCUUACGGGUGGCGAGUGGCGGACGGGUGAGGAAUACAUCGGAAUCUACUUUUUCGGGGGGGAUAACGUAGGGAAACUUACGCUAAUACCGCAUACGACCUACGGGUGAAAGCAUGGGAUCUUCGGACCUUGCGGGAUUGAAUGAGCCGAUGUCGGAUUAGCUAGUUGGCGGGGUAAAGGCCCACCAAGGCGACGAUCCGUAGCUGGUCUGAGAGGAUGAUCAGCCACACUGGAACGUGGACACGGUCCAUGCGCCUGAGAGAGGGAGCAGACUGGUAUAUUAGGCAAUGGGCGCAAACCUUAUCCAGCCAUACGGCGUGUGUUGAAGAGGCGCUCGGGGUGGAAAGCCCGUUUGUUGGGAAAGAAAAGCAGCAGCUUGAUACCCCGCUGUUGUGACGGUACCCAAAGAAUAAGCACCGGCUAACUUCGUG